GCGUGCGUUCGGGAGACGUUCAGCAGUGGUGCUGAGGCUUCGGGUCGGAGCCAGUCUCCCGAACUGUGC
rnacentral:sRNA from 12 species